CCUACGGGCGGCAGCAGUGGGGAAUAUUGCGCAAUGGGGGGAACCCUGACGCAGCCAUGCCGCGUGAAUGAAGAAGGCCUUCGGGUUGUAAAGUUCUUUCGGUAUUGAGGAAGGGAUGUGUGCUAAUAGUACACGUCAUUGACGUUAAAUACAGAAGAAGCACCGGCUAACUCCGUGCCAGCAGCCGCGGUAAUACGGAGGGUGCGAGCGUUAAUCGGAAUAACUGGGCGUAAAGGGCACGCAGGCGGUUAUUUAAGUGAGGUGUGAAAGCCCCGGGCUUAACCUGGGAAUUGCAUUUCAGACUGGGUAACUAGAGUACUUUAGGGAGGGGUAGAAUUCCACGUGUAGCGGUGAAAUGCGUAGAGAUGUGGAGGAAUACCGAAGGCGAAGGCAGCCCCUUGGGAAUGUACUGACGCUCAUGUGCGAAAGCGUGGGGAGCAAACAGGAUUAGAUACCCGGGUAGUC
rnacentral:rRNA from 1 species